GGUUGAUCCUGCCAGAGGUCACUGCUAUCGGGGUUCGAUUAAGCCAUGCGAGUCGAGAGGGUUCGGCCCUCGGCGUACUGCUCAGUAACACGUGGAUAACCUGCCCUAGGGAAGGGGAUAACCCCGGGAAACUGGGGAUAAUACCCUAUAGAUUACAGAUGCUGGAAUGCCCUGUAAUCCAAAGUUCCGACGCCCUAGGAUGGAUCUGCGGCCGAUUAGGUUGUUGUUGGGGUAAUGGCCCAACAAGCCCGUAAUCGGUACGGGUUGUGGGAGCAAGAGCCCGGAGUUGGAUUCUGAGACACGAAUCCAGGCCCUACGGGGCGCAGCAGGCGCGAAAACUUUACAAUGCGGGCAACCGUGAUAAGGGAACCUCGAGUGCCUGUAAAUGCAGGCUGUUCAGGUGCCUAAAACACACCUGAAGAAAGGGCCGGGCAAGACCGGUGCCAGCCGCCGCGGUAAUACCGGCGGCUCGAGUGGUGGCCGCUUUUAUUGGGCUUAAAGCGUUCGUAGCUGGGUUGUUAAGUCUCUUGGGAAAUCUGGCGGCUUAACCGUCAGGCGUCUAAGGGAUACUGGCAAUCUUGGAACCGGGAGAGGUGAGGGGUACUUCGGGGGUAGGAGUGAAAUCCUGUAAUCCUCGAGGGACCACCUGUGGCGAAGGCGCCUCACCAGAACGGCUUCGACAGUGAGGGACGAAAGCUGGGGGAGCAAACCGGAUUAGAUACCCGGGUAGUCCCAGCCGUAAACUAUGCGCGUUAGGUGUAUCGGUGACCACGAGUUACCGAGGUGCCGAAGGGAAACCGUGAAACGUGCCGCCUGGGAAGUACGGUCGCAAGGCUGAAACUUAAAGGAAUUGGCGGGGGAGCACCACAACAGGUGGAGCCUGCGGUUUAAUUGGACUCAACGCCGGGAAGCUCACCGGAUAAGACAGCAGAAUGAUUGCCGGGCUGAAGACUCUGCAUGACUAGCUGAGAGGAGGUGCAUGGCCGUCGUCAGUUCGUACUGUGAAGCAUCCUGUUAAGUCAGG
rnacentral:rRNA from 1 species